CAUGUGCCCCCUUUUUAUCGAGUUGUUGAUUCAGAGGGGCAGGAAAAGUUUCACAAAUCCCACUGCAGGCCUGGCUCUUGCUAUGCCCAGGUGGGGCAGCCAGGCAAACUCAUGCUUCCCAGAAAGUCAAGACUCUGUGUGCUGCCUCAGGUUGAGCACAUCUUUGGGAAUGACUUUCCCAUACUCGGCUAAGGAAGUACUUGGAGAGAUUCGAGAAACAUACACCCAAGCCCUCCAGUGCAGGGUUGUGCUAACUGCUAAGAGAGAGGAGAUCCUCGCUGCCUGCCCACUCUAUCCUUCUUGGGUCUUUGUGAGCCCUGGAACGUAGCCCCAUAACCUGGGGAGUAACAUGAGAUUGAAGGGACUUGGAACUUCUUCCUUCACUCUGAGGGCCCAUGGUACGUACAAAUGCUUAGGGGCACUGAGGGCCCCACCAGACACUUGAAGAAAAAAUGAGUGAAAAGGGGGGGUAGACACCACUGCCAAGCAAUGGCAAGACAGUAAUAAAGGACACACACACACUUCACAGUUGUAAGAUGGCUUUAUGUUCCAAUAUGCAAAAUAAAAUGUCCAUGCUAUAUACCAAAACACUUGGAAGUUUCAUACCACCUGUCAGCUAAUGUGUUUUCUAAUAAAGCUUUAUCUGUAGUGUGUGCAUUUAUAAUUAUAUAUUUAUAUAUAAUCUAAACCAUUCUUAGAUAACAUCAAAUGUAAUAAAAAUUUAAAUAGAUGUCUUUCCAAAUACUCCCUCCAGCAUCCUUUUUCAGUAAGUCUAUUUGUAAAAAAGCAAAGCUGAAUCUGACGUGUGGCCCGCAUUUGUGAGAUAUAGAUAUAUUUAUUUAUAUAUUUAUUUAUAUAAUAUAUAAAUAGCUAUUCAGCAUGCAAAGAGUGUAGUGAUUUCCAAAUCCUGAUUUAGAGUUCACACCAGCCACCCUGCCAUUCUGGUGACAUUCAAUGCUAAUGGACUGAGUAUGUGCUCUCCUCAUUGCCCAUUCUGAAAGAAUUCUCUGCUCCUCUGAGCGGGAACGCUGACGUACUUUUUCUGAGCUGUCCAUUUCCUUCUGCCGGCUUCCUUGCUCCAGGGAUGCAGAUUUCCUGGGGGCAGAGCGGGUCUAGCAGAUGUGUAACAUCAGUUCUGAUGAGACCUCCACGGGAUGCUGCCAGGUAAGGUGUGUUUGACUGCCCAUCACAGGCUGCAGAGGGAUCUGAGAGGCCGCAUGCUGUGACUGGGGGGAGCAGCUCUGGACUUUAUGAUGACGAAACUUGAUUACAGAGAUAACUACUGGUGGCAUUUUUCUUCCUCUCGGGGGAAAAGCAAGCACCAUGAGGUGACAUUUGGCACAUGACCCUUUCUGAAAGUCAUGCCUCAGACCCUGGAGCUUCAGGACUCCAUGUCCAGGCUGAUGCAUGGCCAACUCCACUCUCACAGCUCUCUAAGGCUCAGGUAGUCUCAUACAAUCUCCAGAAGCCAAAGGAGGGGGGUACUCCUGUUCCCAAGAGUGGCGGGCGGCUCCCCUUACAGGUAGAAGGCCAAGAACCCUAAGUAAGCACAGAUACCCCCAAUCCCAGCAAAGAAAGGCCCUCCCUGUGCCAGAGGCCUCAGCCGGCCCCUGAGUAAAAUCAGAGUAUAGUUCAGAAACCUCUAGAUAACUCACGAGCCCUCUACUUCUGUCCCACCCAGGGCAUGUCAAGAGAUGCCAGGUAACAGUGGGCUUGGCUCCUGAAGCCAAAAUUACUUCUUAGAUAAUUGUAUUUUUUUUUCUUGUUUUGGCCUUAGCUGCAUGUCAGAAGACAGAUGCUCUCCAAUCACAUACAGGCUUGUAGAAGCACACGCAUACAAGCAUGCACACACACACACACACACACACACACCCCUUCUGAAAUACCUUUCCAUGUCUCUUGGCAGUGCCGGCCACCCACAGAGGUUAACACUGGAUUAACAUGGUCCUGGGGCUGUCAAGAAUCCAGCAGUCACAUCACCCAUCAGUCCAGUUCUCCACAGUUCCCACUCCUGAAUGAUACUGUAAGGAAGACUCUCGGGUCAAGGAGAAGCUCUGGAUCCAUGCUGGGAGCCAUGGAUACAGAGCUGGGCAGCCUGGAGGAAGAGGGGUGGGGCUCCUAGCCCCUCUGCAGACUAAUGCCUGGCUACCCAGGGAUACUUACAAAUCUUUCUCCCACUCCUUCCCCUGCACUAAAUUCCUGUGAUUUGGCAGAUGACCCAGUCACUCUGGGUCAGGAAGGAGCAGAGGACCAGACAGGUGGUAUAGGCUUUAAGGCCAUCAGUAUGUACCACGAUUAUCAAUUUUGUUGCUGACCUAUGAAAGCAACUGUAGACCAAAUACAGGUAUGGCUGAGCUCCAACCAAGUUUUAUUUAUGGAUACUAAAAUUUGACUAUUAUAUAAUAACAUGGAAAAAAAACCCACCUUUUUAAAAUGACCCAAAGGCCAUUCUUCUGACCUCCAGGGGACUGGAUUAUAAUGGGACUUGCAUCUAGGACACUUGGCAUUCUGCCAGGCUCAUCUCCAGGAGUGGGCUGACAGAAUGUUCUAGAUUAUAAUAAGCAAAAGUCCCCAGACUCACUCCCAAGAGAAUUUUGGGGACCUACAAAAGUCCCUUGGCAAGCAAGGUAACACUAUUCACAGCUGACUCUGUCUCGACCUGCUGAUUUCCAAGCCAGUGUUAUACAGAAGCCAAGUGCCCAGUCACUCAUUUCAGUGCCCAAGACGCCUGUGUGCAUCUUUAAGGGCUGGAUGGAGAGCACCAGACCCAGAACUUUGGGUUCUCCCUGCUCUGUGGCUGAGACUACCAACAAUCCAGCUUCCUGCUUCCUUCUAGGCAGAGCCGAGCAGGAGGAACCCCAUCGAGACUCCCAAACCAACACCUGGGGCUCCGGCCAGCAUACUUGGAACACCAAGAACUGUCUGAGGAUUCCCAAGGCCACACAAGAGUGAGGGCCCACAUGCCAGCAUGUGGGAAGGUGGCUGCUCUGUCCCAGCCCCGCCCUCAGGCUCUUCCGGAACCCUACCUCUGCGCUUCAGGCAGUGGUAGAAGAGGCUGGAGUCCCUUUGCGUGGGGAAGGUGUUGAGGGGCAGGUCCUGGGGCUCUGCAGCAGCAAACGGCACGUGGGCCCCGUUCUCAUAC